rnacentral:rRNA from 1 species
AGUCGACUCCUACGGGGAGGCAGCAGUGGGGAAUAUUGCACAAUGGGGGAAACCCUGAUGCAGCCAUGCCGCGUGUGUGAAGAAGGACCUUCGGGUUGUAAAGCACUUUCAGUAGGGAGGAAGGUAGUGUAGUUAACACCUGCAUUAUUUGACGUUACCUACAGAAGAAGCACCGGCUAACUCCGUGCCCAGCAGCCGCGGUAAUACGGAGGGUGCGAGCGUUAAUCGGAAUUACUGGGCGUAAAGCGCAUGCAGGCGGCCUGUUAAGUCAGAUGUGAAAGCCCGGGGCUUAACCUCGGAAUUGCAUUUGAAACUGGCAGGCUAGAGUCUUGUAGAGGGGGGUAGGAAUUUCAGGUGUAGCGGUGAAAUGCGUAGAGAUCUGAAGGAAUACCAGUGGCGAAGGCGGCCCCCUGGACAAAGACUGACGCUCAGAUGCGAAAGCGUGGGGAGCAAACAGGAUUAGAUACCCCUGGUAG